CCUUCGAUAGCUCAGUUGGAAGAGCGCAGGACUGCAAUUGGUUAAAUUGGUUAAUCAGACAUGUCGCUGGUUCGAUCCCGGCUCAAAGGA
rfam:Trametes pubescens strain FBCC735 TRAPTBscaffold_723, whole genome shotgun sequence.